GACAGAGGGUGCAAACGUUGUUCGGAAUUACUGGGCGUAAAGCGUGUGUAGGCGGUCCACUAAGUCGGGUGUGAAAGCCCUGGGCUCAACCCAGGAAGUGCACUCGAAACUGGCGGGCUAGAGUAUCGGAGAGGUUGGUGGAAUUCUCGGUGUAGAGGUGAAAUUCGUAGAUAUCGAGAGGAACACCGAUGGCGAAGGCAGCCUCUGGGCCAACACUGACGCUCAUGCACGAAAGCGUGGGGAGCAAACAGG
rnacentral:rRNA from 1 species